rnacentral:lncRNA from 1 species
CUGGAAGGCGAGCCCCUGCUCGGUACCCUCAGGGAAGCAGAGACACCCUGUGCGCCAAGCCUUGACCUGGCGCCCAGCUGGCCCUAUCCAUGGGUGGGCCUGCUCCCUGGACCCCCACGCAGCCCUGCGCCUGAAACCGUGAGCUGCAGAGGUGGCGCCAGAAGAUUGCCAGCACUGCUGCUGGGGACUGAUAGCAUGCCCGCCGCACAGGGCGAGUCUGAACCAGGUAUCUGUGCUUAGCUUCUUCCCCGUCGCCUCUGCCACGCCUCACCCCGGCACUGGGACCUCAGGUAGCCACCUGCCC